UACGUAGGUGGCAAGCGUUGUUCGGAAUUAUUGGGCGUAAAGCGCGCGCAGGCGGUUCCUUAAGUCUGAUGUGAAAGCCCACGGCUCAACCGUGGAAGGUCAUUGGAAACUGGGGAACUUGAGUGCAGAAGAGGAGAGUGGAAUUCCAUGUGUAGCGGUGAAAUGCGUAGAUAUAUGGAGGAACACCAGUGGCGAAGGCGACUCUCUGGUCUGUAACUGACGCUGAGGCUCGAAAGCGUGGGGAGCAAACAGGAUUAGAUA
rnacentral:rRNA from 1 species